UGCCUGUGAUGUUCAAUCAUUUGUCCGUACCAUCUGAGGUUUCUUUCUCUGAUGAUUCUCUCAAAGUAUUGAUUCUGAGGCAU